rnacentral:rRNA from 1 species
AUUGAACGCUGGCGGCAUGCCUUACACAUGCAAGUCGAACGGCAGCACGGGAGCUUGCUCCUGGUGGCGAGUGGCGAACGGGUGAGUAAUACAUCGGAACGUACCCUGAAGUGGGGGAUAACGUAGCGAAAGUUACGCUAAUACCGCAUAUUCUGUGAGCAGGAAAAGAGGGGGGAUCGCAAGACCUCUUGCUUUAGGAGCGGCCGAUGUCGGAUUAGCUAGUUGGUGAGGUAAAGGCUCACCAAGGCGACGAUCCGUAGCGGGUCUGAGAGGAUGAUCCGCCACACUGGGACUGAGACACGGCCCAGACUCCUACGGGAGGCAGCCAGU